rnacentral:rRNA from 1 species
UACGUAGGGUGCGAGCGUUGUUCGGAAUUACUGGGCGUAAAGGGCGCGUAGGCGGCCUUCUAAGUCAGACGUGAAAUCCCCCGGCUUAACCUGGGAACUGCGUCUGAUACUGGAGGGCUUGAGUAUGGGAGAGGGAUGUAGAAUUCCAGGUGUAGCGGUGAAAUGCGUAGAUAUCUGGAGGAAUACCAGUGGCGAAGGCGGCAUCCUGGACCAUUACUGACGCUGAGGCGCGAAAGCUAGGGGAGCAAAGCGGG